GACGAACCGAGCGAACGUUGUUCGGAAUCACUGGGCUUAAAGGGCGCGUAGGCGGGCCCUCAAGUCCGGGGUGAAAUCCUCCCGCCCAACGGGAGAAGAGCCUCGGAGACUGAGGGCCUCGAGGGGGGUAGGGGCGUGCGGAACUAUGGGUGGAGCGGUGAAAUGCAUUGAUAUCCAUAGGAACUCCGGUGGCGAAGGCGGCACGCUGGACCCUCUCUGACGCUGAGGCGCGAAAGCCAGGGGAGCAAACGGG
rnacentral:rRNA from 1 species